UACGUAGGGGGGCAAGCGUUGUCCGGAAUCAUUGGGCGUAAAGCGCGCGUAGGCGGCCCGGUAAGUCCGUUGUGAAAGUCAAAGGCUCAACCUUUGAACGCCGAUGGAUACUGCCGGGCUAGAGUCCGGAAGAGGCGAGUGGAAUUCCUGGUGUGGCGGUGAAAUGCGCAGGAUAUCAGGAGGAACACCUAUUGCGAAGGCAGCUCGCUGGGACGUAACUGACGCUGAGACGCGAAAGCGUGGGGAGCAAACAGG
rnacentral:rRNA from 1 species